CCGCGCGGCGCUACACUGCAGUCGACGGUAAAGGAAGCAAGCUUGCUGCUUUGCUGACGAGUGGCCGACGGGUGAGUAAUGUCUGGGAAACUGCCUGAUGGAGGGGGACUAACUACUGGAAACGGUAGCUAAUACCGCACACACGUCGCAAGACCAAGGAGGGGGACCUCUCUGGCCUCUUGCCAUCGGAUGUGCCCAGAUGGGAUUAGCUAGUAGGUGGGGUAACGGCUCACCUAGGCGACGAUCCUCUAGCUGGUCUGAGACGAUGACCCGCGCCCACUGGAACUGAGACACGGUCCCUACUCCUACGGGAGGCAGGCGAGCGAAAUAUUGCACAGCGGGCGCAAGCCUGACCCACCCAUGCGGGCUGUAUGAACAAUGCCUUCGGGUUGUAAAUUACUUUCAGCGGGGAGGAAGGGAGUAAAGUCAAUACCUUUGCUCAUUGACCUUACCCGCAGAAGAAGCACCGGCUAACUCCGUGCCAGCCACCGCGGUAAUACAGAGGGUGCCAGCGUCACUCCUAAUUACUGGGCGUAAAGCGCACGCAGGCGGCUUGUUAAGUAAUAUGAGACCUCCCCGGGCACUUCCUGAGUACUGCAUCAGAUACUGGCACGCUAGUUUUCUCGUAGAGGGGGGAAUAAUUCCAUGUGUAGCGGUGAAAUGCUUAUAUAUCUGGAGAAAUACUGGUGGCGAAGGCGGCCCCUUGGACGAAGACUGACCCUCAGGUGCGAAAGUUUGGGGAGCAAACAGGAUUAAAUACCCUGGUAGUCCACGCCGUAAACCAUGUCAACUUGAUAGUUGUGCUCUUCGAACCUUGUAUUCCCCACCUA
rnacentral:rRNA from 1 species